rnacentral:lncRNA from 1 species
CACUCAAUAGUAAUAUUUAAAAUUGAAGGUUGUUUGUUCGUUGUUUUUAAUAUAGUUGUGGUUAUGUGAGUCUCAGUAAAACUGUGGAGUAUACAGGCAUACCUGAAAUAAUGCUCUGCUGUAUCGACCCAAGUGAGUACUGAGAAAGCACAGCAUCAGUCUAGAGGUAUUAAUUCAGAUACAUCUCAGCAAUGGUGGUGUUUAAAGCUCUCAGAGAGGGAAGGCUCUGUGCCAGCCACCAAGAAAAACAGGUCUCAUCUAUCCUAGGCGAAGGCAGGGCAUUGCUUUUCAAGGCACUUGAUGUGUUUCACUCUUUCUUCUUUUGCAGAGGGUGGGUAUUCCUGGCCUGAGAAUCACGGGAAAUUAGCUCCUUCUGGCUUCCCGGUGGGGGUAUCCAAGGGUCCAUAAACCUCUGCUCUAAAUCGCUGUGUUCAUGGUUAACCUGGUGUAAUUAAUGUGAAAUUCAGCUCCAGAUAUCCAAAAUCUCUACGUGCCAUAAAUAAAUAAAUAAAUAAAUAAAUAAAUAAAAUAUGUGCUUAGAAUCAAGGAGGCAGGCCAGAUUUUCAUGUUAAUGGCUGACGGUGACCCCUCCAAAGGGCAUGCCAAGGGUGAGAGAGGGGAAGCUGUUUCUGACCCCCCAAGCAUAGAUUUGUCUGAAUGGCUCUCAGGGAGGAUUCUUACCAGAAAAAGACUCUGUCAAGUUCCUGGUAAUCUGAUUUGUUGA